UGGGUACAUAAUCCAUCGAACCACGCCACACAAUCCUCGGGAUACCCGGCAUAGCCAAUGUGACUGUCUUGGCAUAGUCUAGAAUAGCAUGGCACGAUGAUAACCAAUCCAUGCCCAGAAUAACAUCAAAAUCCACCAUGCUCAAUAGUAGCAAGUCAGCUCGGGUCUCCAGACCCUCAAUUGUAACAAGACAGGACCGAUACACGUGGUCACCCACUAGGGUAGAUACAUGCACAGGCAAUGCUAGACACCCUCGGGUAGUCGCCAAAUGAUGAGCAAAGUAACCAGAUACAUAAGACUAUGUAUCCCUGGGAUCAAACAAAGCAGAAGCCUCCCUGUGGCAAACUGAGAUAAUACAUGUGAUCACUGCAUCUAAAGCAACAACAUCUCUCCUAUCUAGGAGUGCAUAGAAACAAGCCUGACCACCGCUCGAAUGCUCAUCCCUCCUGGGGCGGCCUCUAGAUGGCUGACCCCCACCAUUACUAGACUGGGAUGGUGCUGAAGUAGAUGAAGAAGAAUAGGAGGGCUGAUCCCUUUGCUGAAACCUACCACCGCGAAGUCGAGGACAAUGUCUCUUCAAAUGAC
rnacentral:lncRNA from 1 species